rnacentral:piRNA from 2 species
UGAACCGCUACAAGAGGGCAAAGCUGACU